UUCAGAAAAACUCUGGCAUUCUUGGCAGAUGAACAAUGAUCAAGAAAACCAAAGACAGACUACAAUAAGUUACUUCUUCAACCCACCAUAGAAGUACAGAAAAAUCAGCCAAGGUCUCCCACCAGCAAAGCCCAUGCCAGUAGCAGUACCUCUCAACAGUGCCCGAAAUGCAUCCGCCCACACAAGACCCAGAAUGGCUGUCUCUGAGUGGAAUGAGUCACCCAGCAAAGGGGGAGAACGAUGAGAAGGGAGCAGUUAUUAUACAUGCAGCAAUAGCUCAGCAGAUGAAAUGGGCUUUAUUUCAUGACAGCCCUGUGAAAAAACAGCUUUGGAAGGCUAGUACAACAGCAAGAAGAACCACAAGAUCUGACCUUUAUAUAGUGCUCUUUUGCAUACACCAUCUCAUUUGAUCCACAUAGUAACUGGGUUGGGUAUUAGUAUUAUUAUUGUUAUUGCUAUCCCCAUUUUACAGAAAC
rnacentral:lncRNA from 1 species